AUUGAACGCUGGCGGCAGGCUUAACACAUGCAAGUCGAGCGGAGAUGAGGUGCUUGCACCUUAUCUUAGCGGCGGACGGGUGAGUAAUGCUUAGGAAUCUGCCUAUUAGUGGGGGACAACAUUCCGAAAGGAAUGCUAAUACCGCAUACGCCCUACGGGGAAAGCAGGGGAUCUUCGGACCUUGCGCUAAUAGAUGAGCCUAAGUCGGAUUAGCUAGUUGGUGGGGUAAAGGCCUACCAAGGCGACGAUCUGUAGCGGGUCUGAGAGGAUGAUCCGCCACACUGGGACUGAGACACGGCCCAGACUCCUACGGGAGGCAGCAGUGGGGAAUAUUGGACAAUGGGCGGAAGCCUGAUCCAGCCAUGCCGCGUGUGUGAAGAAGGCCUUUUGGUUGUAAAGCACUGUAAGCGAGGAGGAGGCUACUGAGACUAAUACUCUUGGAUAGUGGACGUUACUCGCAGAAUAAGCACCGGCUAACUCUGUGCCAGCCGCCGCAGUAACAC
rnacentral:rRNA from 1 species